rnacentral:misc_RNA from 1 species
GCUCCGUUGGUGAACCAGCGGAGGGAUCAUUACAGAGCUGCAAAACUCCCAAACCAUUGUGAACGUUACCUAUCCCGUUGCUUCGGCGGGCGGCCCGGGCCCCGCGCCCGGCGCCCCCCGGCCCCCCGUGGGCGCCCGCCGGAGGUAAACCAAACCCUUGAAUUGCAUGGCCUCUCUGAGUCUUCUGUACUGAAUAAGUCAAAACUUUCAACAACGGAUCUCUUGGUUCUG